CAGAGGGUGCGAGCGUUAAUCGGAAUUACUGGGCGUAAAGGGCGCGUAGGUGGUUAUUUAAGUUAGAGGUGAAAUCCCUGGGCUUAACCUGGGCAUUGCCUAUAGUACUGGAUAGCUAGAGUUUGGGAGAGGGAAGUGGAAUUUCCGGUGUAGCGGUGAAAUGCGUAGAUAUCGGAAGGAACACCAGUGGUGAAGGCGACUUCCUGGCCCGAUACUGACACUGAGGCGCGAAAGCGUGGGGAGCGAACAGGAUUAGAUACCCUGGUAGUCCACGCCGUAAACGAUGAGAACUAGAUGUUGGUUGGCUUAGACCAAUCAGUAUCGUAGCAAACGCGAUAAGUUCUCCGCCUGGGGAGUACGGCCGCAAGGUUA
rnacentral:rRNA from 1 species